GGAGCAACUAAACUCGAGUUUCGGCCGCUGUUUGGGAUAAGAGAAAGGAAAAGAAAAGAGGAGAAAAAAUGGAAGCAGAAGAAGAACAAAAGCCAGAGAACGAACAACCAAGGACCAGUCCAAUUACGGAAUCCCAAUUCCACUCUUGGAAGCGCCAAAAGAUCUCUCUCUCUCUCUCUCUCUGCUUUUCCUAUAGUAAUGGUUGAUUUUUCUUUCUACAAUUAGGGUUUAUAGUUCUCAUGUUCUUAUUAUAGUUUCACCUAAUUUCCUAUAAAUCGCAUUUUUGCCUCAAUAAUAAUAGAACUAAGCAAUGAAUAAUUUCAAUUUUCCAUUAAAAUCUAAAAUCUUGGAGCUGACAGAGUCCUUAAAAGAUAGAGGUUCAAUUUCCUUAAGUUUUAUUCAAUUUCUUCAGUUUUUUCAUAUUGUAUUUCCGAAUGUGUUUAUUGGACUUCUUAGGUUCUAAUUCAUGUGAUUUUCAGGAUGCAGAUGCAUCAGCUAAGAAAGCUGAGGCAGCUAGGAAACGUGCCAAAGAUGUAGCAGCCAGAACCGUGCAAAUGAACGGACAGGAGCUUUUCUUACAUGAACCUUGGGUGUUUGAUAACUCUCAAUAUUAAGGUUAGUUUCAAUGAGAGACCAUGUAUAUUAUUUUAAGGUUCUGCCUCUCAAGUUUCAAGUCUUGUUGCUUCAAUAGAAGGAAGAAUUAGUCCUACGGCAAGAAACAAGUAUUUCUAGGUUUUCGGUUCUAACAUUGAUAGUGUAUCUUUAAGUCAUUUUACAUUUUCCCCUUUGUUUAGUAUGCUAACUUUGUUGAUACUUAAACUACUGGGAUCAUUUGAUUAUUUAAUUGACACAGCUUUUGAUUGUUAUGUUUAUAGAUUGUGG
rnacentral:lncRNA from 1 species